AAGGAUAUGUAUUUAUAUUCAUUUAAAGAAAACUCCUUUUGAAUGCAUUACUUGUUUGAUUUAGGAAGCAUUUAAUCAGAUAAAUAAUCUCACGAAUGUUUUAAGUAACUUGCUAAAACUUAAUUAAUUAAUUUGGUUUCUUUGAUAGUACACCCAGAGAAAAGUCUCAGAAAGCUAUCCAAGAUGAAAUCCGUUCAGUGAUCAGACAGAUCACAGCUACGGUGACAUUUCUGCCACUGUUGGAAGUUUCUUGUUCAUUUGAUCUACUGAUUUAUACAGACAAAGAUUUGGUUGUACCUGAAAAAUGGGAAGAGUCGGGACCGCAGUUUAUUACCAAUUCUGAGGAAGUCUGCCUUUGUUCGUUUACUACUACGAUCCACAAAGUAGAGGAAUGAAAACAACAUGUUCCGAUUGGGCCUGUCAAGGUCUGAAAUAGAGCCCCGGAAGGGACUGAACCACACCUGGUCUUCAGGAUUCUUCUCCCAGUGUCAUCAAUUGGACAGAGAAGUCAAGCCUUCAUGGGAAUUUUACACAGAGGUAUAACGAUCUUAUGUGUUAGUUGGCUUUUGCUUCAUAGCAAACAACCAUAGAAUAACCAUAGGCAUUUUUUUUCCUGUAAGUGUGGGUUAUCUGGGGUGCUUGUCUUAUUCUCAUGCAAAUCUAGGUUACAUGUCUCAUUCUACCAUUGAAGGGGCAAUGGCUAGCCAGGACUCCUAAAGCUUAGCUUCAGAACUUCCACACUGACAUUUUUGCCCACGUUCCACUGAUGCGGGCAAGUCUUGUGGCUCAGCCAAACCUCAGUGGGGCAGGGAAGUAUAUUCCUCCCACAGAGCUGGGGAAAGGGGUAUGUGAAAAUGUGAUGAAAGUGGUACUAUACAGGAAAGAUCAGAAUAGCUAUAAUAAUGCUACAUUGUAACUCAUAUUUUCCACCAGAUGUCACUAAUGCUGCAAUAUUCAAAUUAAGAAAAAUGUAGAACACGUUUUAACACUUUACCAUGAGCGAAGAUUGUAAAGUCCACACUGAAUAUUUAAGGAAAACCAUAUGAGUAUUUGUAUGAAAGACAUAUGAAUGCAGACAAGUCAUGAAGGCUGCGCACACACCAUGGAAGACUGGGAGACAUGUCAUAACCCAUCGUGGUCAAGCGUCAGAAGGGAGCCCGGGCAGCCAUCCCUCUCAGCAGAGCCGAGCGUACUCAUGGUGCUGAUGCGCUCCACACUCUUAAACUCUGCUUCACCCUACGGAGUCCUUCUGGAACUGCUGAAGGGCAUUUCGCUUUUUGCCCACAAAAGACGCAAGCACCAUAAGCCAGGUAGAAUUCCAUGUGGCACCCUACGCUGAAAGUUCACUCUCUGUUCUAUUUCUUAUCUCGAAUUAUGUCCAGCCACGUUGUCCAAAGUGACUCACGGACUUUAUGAAAUGAACACAGAGACUGUAUCAACAUUAAAAUGUCCCAAAUUUGAACAGUAUGAAACUUUUUUUUUAUUACUCAACUUCUCCCCAACCUAAAUCCCCUUGCAAAUAAAAGCCCAUAGAAAUUAAAGUCCAAAUGCCUUCAUUCUCAACUGUAUACAAUCGGGUCAGUGUCAGCCAGAGCUUUUUACUCAGAGCCUGGGUUCCUAUAGCUGCAGCCGAGUCCUGGGAUUUCACAGCAAUGCGUAUAGCUUCUUCAGCCUCUUCAAAGUUGUUUCAAACCUCUAAUUAGUUCUGGUCUCCAAGGGCUCAGCAGUCACAAAAGAAACUGCAUCCUCACUAUAGAAGCUGUCACAAACAAAACUAUGGUCCCCCAGUUAAAUGAAUAGGUAAUGUCUGACACUGCUGUUCUCGGCCAAAGAGCGCGGCAGAUCACUCAGUGCUGCCUGCAUUGAAGACAGUGAGGACCUGGGAACCCGGGUUUCAGUCCCAUGGCAAGCCAGCCUGUGGCACCAGCAUUAGGUCCACGGCCUGUGAGUCCGGUCGAUUCACUGAGCAGAAAGUGCCCAUCAAUGGUUGUACUUCCACGUUUAAUAUGUGUAUUUCUUUGUUUUGUUUUGGUGAUGUGUGUGGGAAUCUCCCAUAUAUAUUGCCUACUUUCUCUCAGCCAGUGACAUUUGGGACAUUGGUGCCUUCUUCACAAAUUUAGUUAUUCUGGUUUCUUCAUUUCCCUGUGUCUCCUGUCUCAUGCUUUUGGCACUUUGGUGCAAGAUUAUGGUCUAGAGAAAACAUCUACUCCCAAAUUCCUCCAAGUAUAUUCUCUCCAGAACAGUGGAGUGAAGUACACCGUCCUCUGUAAUGCAUGAGGAAUGGGGUAAUGAACAUCACCCUACUCCCUUAGCACUAUGUUUAACUUACUAAUAUACCAUGUUGCAUUUAUUCUGAUAGUAGUAAUUGUCAUCACUCUUCCACAGACUUUUCAUUCCUACCUAGGCAGGUUGAGUUGGACCUGGCUAGGAAGUAGUGACCAGAAUCAAGAUUUUAAGAAAAUAAAGUACCAUGAUCACAGUAAGAGCCAAUGAGUCAGGAUUAUUCUUUGUAAAGAAGUAACAGAAGGAUAUCAAAGUUUAGCAAGACUUUAAGAAGAUUCUAGAUAUCACAGAUUAAAGUAGUCAGAAGUUAGUAUUCCAAAGUGUUGCGCCAUUGAAAAGAUAGAACACAAGCACAAACAAAUAAAAAAGAUUCCAAGAAACUUAAAUUCAGGGUAGAAACUUUUCUG